GACGAACGCUGGCGGCGUGCUUAACACAUGCAAGUCGAACGGAAAGGCCCUGCUUUUGUGGGGUGCUCGAGUGGCGAACGGGUGAGUAACACGUGAGUAACCUGCCCUUGACUUUGGGAUAACUUAAGGAAACUGGGGCUAAUACCGGAUAGGAGCUCCUGCUGCAGGGUGGGGGUGGGAAAGUCUCGGCGGUUGGGGAUGGACUGGCGGCUUAUCAGUUUGUUGGUGGGGUAGUGGCAUACCAAGGAUUUGGCCGAUAGCCGGCAUGGGAGGGUGGCCGGCGACCAUGGGACUGAGGUACGGCCCAGACGCGAACGGGAGGCAGCGGUGGGAAGUAUUGCACAGUGGGAGGGAGCCUGAUGCGGCAGCGCCGGGUGCGUGAUGCCGGCUUGUGGGUUGUGAACCGCAUUCGGCUGUGACGAAGCGUGAGUGACGGUAAUGGGUGAAGAAGCACCGGCUAACUACGUG
rnacentral:rRNA from 1 species